GCGCCCGGGGGCGGCGGCGGCAUCACCAUGGGCCGGCCGGGCAGGGUGCUGCGGCUGCUGGCGCUGCUGGAGCUGCCCUGCUGCCUGCUGGAGCUGCUGCUCGGGGAGGCGGCCCGCGGGCAGGAGAUGUACGCGCCCCACUCCAUCCGCCUGGAGGGGGACAUCACCCUGGGCGGCCUCUUCCCCGUGCACGCCAAGGGCCCCCCGAGCUCCCCCUGCGGGGACAUCAAGAAGGAGAACGGCAUCCACAGGCUGGAGGCGAUGCUCUACGCCCUGGACCAGAUCAACAGCGACCCGGACCUGCUGCCCAACGUCACGCUGGGCGCCCGCAUCCUGGACACCUGCUCCCGGGACACCUACGCGCUGGAGCAGUCCCUCACCUUCGUGCAGGCGCUCAUCCAGAAGGACACCUCCGACGUGAGGUGCACCAACGGCGAGCCGCCCGUCUUCGUCAAGCCGGAGAAAGUAGUUGGAGUGAUCGGGGCGUCGGGAAGUUCCGUGUCCAUUAUGGUGGCCAACAUCCUCCGGCUGUUCCAGAUCCCACAAAUCAGUUAUGCCUCAACUGCCCCCGAGUUGAGCGAUGACAGGCGCUAUGAUUUCUUCUCACGGGUGGUUCCUCCAGAUUCCUUCCAAGCACAAGCAAUGGUGGACAUUGUGAAAGCUUUGGGAUGGAAUUAUGUGUCCACUGUGGCAUCUGAAGGGAAUUAUGGAGAAAAAGGAGUGGAGUCCUUCAUGCAAAUUUCCAGAGAGGCAGGUGGGCUCUGCAUCGCCCAGUCCCUGAAGAUCCCCCAGGAGCGCAAGGACAAGAGCAUCGACUUCGACCGCAUCAUCCGGCAGCUGCUGGAGACGCCCAACGCCAGGGCCAUCGUCAUCUUCGCCCACGACGAGGACAUCAGGCAGAUCCUGGCAGCAGCCAAGAGGGCAGACCAGGUGGGCCAUUUCCUGUGGGUGGGCUCCGACACCUGGGGCUCCAAGGUGAGCCCGCUGCUGCAGCAGGAGGACGUGGCCGAGGGAGCCAUCACCAUCCUGCCCAAGAGAGCCACCAUCGAGGGCUUUGACACCUACUUCACCUCUCGCACCCUGGAGAACAACAGGAGGAACGUGUGGUUUGCAGAGUACUGGGAGGAGAACUUCAACUGCAAGCUGACCAUCACUGGCUCCAAGAAGGAGGAGUCGGACAGGAAAUGCACAGGGCAGGAGCGCAUCGGGAAGGACUCGCACUACGAGCAGGAGGGGAAGGUGCAGUUCGUGAUCGAUGCCGUGUACGCCAUGGCCCACGCCCUGCACCACAUGAACCGCGACCUGUGCGCCGACAGUGCCGGGCUGUGCCCCGAGAUGGAGCAGGCCGGGGGCAAGCGGCUGCUCAAGUACAUCCGCAGCGUCAACUUCAACGGCAGUGCUGGCACUCCAGUGAUGUUCAACAAGAACGGGGACGCCCCGGGGCGCUACGACAUCUUCCAGUUCCACAGCAGCAACACCAGCACGCCCGGCUACCGCCUGGUGGGGCAGUGGACAGACGACCUGCAGCUCAAUAUUGAGGAGAUGCAGUGGGGCGGGGGCGUGCGCGCCGUGCCCCCCUCGGUGUGCAGCCAGCCGUGCCGGCCGGGCGAGAGGAAGAAGAUGGUGAAGGGCAUGCCGUGCUGCUGGCACUGCGAGCUGUGUGACGGGUACCAGUACCAGGCCGACGAGGUCACCUGCCUGCUGUGCUCCUACAACGAGCGGCCCAACGAGAACCGCACCGGCUGCCGCUCCAUCCCCAUCAUCAAGCUGGAGUGGCACUCGCCCUGGGCCGUCAUCCCCGUCUUCCUGGCCAUGCUGGGCAUCGUGGCCACCAUCUUCGUGGUGGCCACCUUCAUCCGCUACAACGACACGCCGAUCGUGCGCGCCUCGGGCCGCGAGCUCAGCUACGUGCUGCUGACGGGCAUCUUCCUGUGCUACAUCAUCACCUUCCUGAUGAUCGCCAAGCCCGACGUGGCCGUCUGCUCCUUCCGCAGGAUCUUCCUGGGGCUGGGCAUGUGCAUCAGCUACGCGGCGCUGCUCACCAAGACCAACCGCAUCUACCGCAUCUUCGAGCAGGGCAAGAAGUCGGUGACGGCGCCGCGGCUCAUCAGCCCCACCUCGCAGCUGGCCAUCGCCUCCAGCCUCAUCUCCGUCCAGCUCCUGGGCGUCUUCAUCUGGUUCGCGGUGGACCCGCCCAACAUCAUCGUGGAUUACGAUGAGCAGAAAACUAUGAACCCCGAGCAGGCGCGAGGAGUGCUCAAGUGUGACAUUACGGAUCUACAAAUCAUUUGUUCCUUGGGCUAUAGCAUUCUGCUCAUGGUGACGUGCACUGUGUAUGCCAUCAAGACUCGGGGGGUCCCGGAGAAUUUUAAUGAAGCCAAACCCAUUGGAUUCACUAUGUACACUACCUGUAUAGUAUGGCUUGCCUUCAUUCCAAUAUUUUUUGGCACUGCCCAGUCAGCAGAAAAGCUCUACAUCCAAACCACCACGCUCACCAUCUCCAUGAACCUGAGCGCGUCGGUGGCGCUGGGGAUGCUCUACAUGCCCAAGGUUUACAUCAUCAUCUUCCACCCCGAGCUGAACGUGCAGAAGCGCAAGCGCAGCUUCAAGGCGGUGGUGACGGCGGCCACCAUGUCCUCGCGCCUGUCGCACAAGCCCAGCGACCGCCCCAACGGCGAGGCCAAGACGGAGCUCUGCGAGAACGUGGACCCCAACAACUCCAUACCACCAGUAAGAAAGAGUGUUCAAAAGUCUGUUACUUGGUACACUCUCCCACCUACUGUAUAGCUUUUGCCUGCUUUCCAAAAAGUCCACAGCACUCACACAGCAGCAGUAGAAAUGGAGUUGGAAUUAGCAGGUUUUCUGUACCGCUGGCUCCAAUUAAGGAAUAUGAGUUGGGUUUGUUUCUUCCCUGCCAUAAUCUCAUAAACAUUUGGAAACACAUUUCCUAAGCUCCUGAGCACCUUUGCAGCUCCACGUGACCUGGUGCAGGCCCUGCUGCAAAAAAGAAGUACGUGAGCUACAACAACCUGGUGAUCUAGGCCAGCUGCCAUGGGGCACGGGCCACCAGCCCACCCGCCUGGCUGAGCUCCCCACACGGGCUCCGGGGAACCGGGCACGGGGGAGGCGAGAGGAGCCCGGCUCCAGGCCGCUCCCAGCACCUCCUCCAUCCUGCCGGCUCUGCACGGCGCUGGCCUGGCCUCAGGGCUCAGGGCUGCUGUGGCCUUGGGGCCUCUCCAGCCUUGGGGCCUCUCCAGCCUUGGGACCGCUGUGGCCAUGGGGACACCAUGGCCUUGGGCACCACCAUGGCCUUGGGGCCUCUCCAGCCUUGGAGCCACCAUGGCCUUGAGGCUGUUCUGGCCUUGGGAUCACUGUGGCCUUGGGGCCUCUCCAGCCUUGGAGCCACCAUGGCCUUGAGGCUGUUCUGGCCUUGGGACCGCCGUGGCCUUGGGGCCUCUCCGGCCGUGGAUCCGCCGUGCCCUCAGGGCCGCCGUGGCCUCAGGGCCGCCAUGGCCGCGCCUCAGGAGCAGCUCCCUGGGCCGGCUGCGCUCGGCUGCUCUGGACUCUAAGGGGCUAAUUCUGUCUUUCUAUGUACUUCCAGACUGCAAGUUUUUGAACUCUCUGUACAGUUUGUGAGGAUUUUUUGCAUAUUGCCAUCCAUGUUGUUCCGAGGUCACUGUUUGUUUUUUGGAUGCACAGUUUCCUUGAGGCCCUGUGCUCUCGGCACCUCUCAAACCAACUGACCACUGAGGAUCUGAGACCUAUGUACAUGACUUGUAUUAUUAUUCUUGUAUCACUGCAAUCCAUAUACCUUAUUUUUUUUAACUAAACAAACAAACAAAACAAAAAAAGAAUUUAAAGACCAAAAACUGUGCUGGCGAAGUUUGUCCCCCCCUUCACACCUCCGAUGGGCUGCAGAGGAAGCAGGAAGGAUUUUUGCUGAGUUUUAGUAGAGGUCUUGAUCUUUGGAAUGCAUGCCAGUAAUGUAUUUUAUGGUACAUGUUAAUAAUUUAUGUUUGAUAUUUGUAUUUGUGUUCUACUUUGUUCUUUUCUUUAAGGUAUAUGACUAUUUUGCAAUAAUUUCAAUGAUUCUUAGGAUAUUUGGAGGAAAGAAUAUGGCUUUUACAUGUCUUGAGGUUUUUCUUUGUUGAUGCCCCACCAUGAUUGACCAGUGUGAUAAGGACUUACAGAAGCAUGUAUGUUUUCUACUGUUUGUAAUAAGUAAUUUCGUUAAUCUUGCUGCUUAUGUGCCAAUUUAGUGAAACCGAUCUUUGCCGCAACCUCCUCCCUCCCUUUCCAUUCUCUCGAUCCUGUGAUAUUAUCCAAGAAUGUAUCAAUAAAAGAUUUUGGUUAACUUUU